UUACUUUUUUCUUUUUCUAAACCAAAUUCAUACCAUCUCACGAGUAUGUCAUUAGACGGAGAAAAACGCUGUCACACGCUAAAGUUCGAGAUUGGCCCUAUUCGUCUCAACUUUAAUCCAGUUGUAAGCGCGGUUGCUACCAUUAUAAUAUGGGCGUUCAUAGCAGUAUGCACUAAACACCCUGAGAGAUCGCAUGAAUACAUGACGACUUUAAGAAAUUGGAUUACAGACAACUUUACAUGGCUCUACAUUGGCGGUAUAAACCUUUGGUUUGUGUUCAUUGUUGUCGUUUUCAUAUCCAAGUAUGGCAAUUUAAAAAUUGGCCGCGAUGAUGAUGAACCAGAAUUCAGCGAUGCAUCAUACUUUACUAUGUUGUUUGCAGCUGGAAUUGGUGUUGGUUUCUUCUAUUUUGGCGUAGCAGAACCGGUGUUUCAUUACGAACCCAGAAGUAAAUACGGCAAUCGUUAUCAAGAAAGGUAUUCGGAUAACCAAAGAGCUCAAGAUGCGAUAAAUCUUACUCUUUAUCACUGGGGCAUUCAUGGUUGGGUUGUUUAUACCCUUGUUGGUUUAACAAUGGGAAUCAUGUCUCACAGAAAAGGAUUGCCUAUGACAAUACGCUCAUGCUUUUAUCCUCUUCUUGGUGAUCGUAUCUUUGGCUGGAUUGGAGAUAUUAUCGAGAUCCCUGCUAUUGUAUCGACAAUGUUUGGUUUAUGUGCAAGCUUAGGUGCUGGAGCUUUGACUAUGAACUCAGGUUUAAAUCUACUUAUUGGUGCAAUUAAAGUUUCUAAAAGUAGUCAAAUUAUCAUCAUAUGGGUAAUCACAGCCUUUGCCACCAUCUCAGUUGUUUCUGGUCUUAAACUUGGCAUUCGUAGGCUCAGUGAAAUUUGUUUUGCACUUGGCAUCUUUAUCAUGUUGAUAAUUUUGUUUUGUGGAAAAACUUUUUUUUUACUUAAUCUGUUUGUUCAAAGCAUUGGUUAUUACAUUCAAAAUGUUAUUCAGCUUGGCUUCCACACUGAUGCAUUUGCCCAAGUUAAUAAUGCACCUGAUGAAAAAGAAAACCCUGAAUGGAUGAGAGGUUGGACCAUUGCAUACUGGGGCUGGUGGAUUUCCUGGUCACCAUUUGUUGGAAUGUUUAUAGCAAAGAUUUCAAAAGGUAGAACAAUAAGGAAUUAUAUUAUCUCUACACUUGUAGCUCCCAUUAUUUUCACUUUCUUAUGGUUUGUUGUUGUUGGUGGUUCUGGUAUAGAUAUGGAGCGUGAAGCUGCUAGUAGAGGUAUUGAGUGCAGUGCUCGCUUUGGUGGCAGAAACUCAAAUCAACCAAAUAAUACAUUGUAUCGACUCUCCUGUCAGCCUCAAAGACAAAUGUAUUUUGAUAUGAUUCAACAAUAUGGCGAUGUAGGAAAGUUUCUUCGAGUUCUGUCGUUAAUUAGUAUUUUAUUGUAUUUUGUGACGAGCUCUGAUAGCGGUUCACUAGUUAUUGAUUGUCUCUCUGCCAAUGGUAGUCCAGAUCCUCCUGUAGCUCAGCGUGUUUUCUGGGCUCUAACAGAAGGUGCAGCAGCAACAGCAUUGGUUACAGUUGGCGGGGAAAAAGCCGUUGAUGCAGUGCUUGCUGCUGCAGUAGCCUCAGGUCUUCCGUUUACACCUGUUUUGUUUCUUCUAUGUGUUUCUUUGUGGCGCAUCCUAAAAUCUGAGUUUGGUGAUAUUAAAGGUGAUGAAAACGAAUUUCAUGCAUGUUGGAUGUGGUAGAUAACCCUUCUUUGAAUAACCUCAAAGACGUUAUUGUUGCAAUUUUUGCUCCUUGGUGGCCAGCUGGUAAAGCUGCAUCCAAAGUCUCUCAGAAACCCUCAUGGAUAUACAUAAGUGUAUUGGCUCUUUUGUUUUAUUCUGGGAUUCUUUUGAUAAUCUUGAAUGUUGUAAGUGAUGGACUCAUGUACAUCGGUUUUGCAGUUCUUUGUGGUUUUCUUGGUUAUUGCGUCGCGCUCAGGAGCUCAAUUCGCCAAGCCAGUAGAAUCCCUGGAAGUUUAUUGGAAGAUACGUUUGCCAUGAUUCCGUACUUCCUCUGCAUUGAUCAAAUGUAUAAACAUGCAUGUAUUGAAGAGACUCAAAAGAAGAAUGACCCACAACCUUUGAUGGAAUAUAGCAAGGGCGAUGGUAUUGAGGAUGAAAGCGGACUUGAACAGACUGUCUGAGACGUGCGCGGUUGAAGUUAUUUCGCACGUUCUAUUGGACCGUCCAAAGUAUACAUUGCCGGAAACCUUUAAAAUUGACGGAUCUAAAAAGACAUAGACUGCAUUGAAAAUGCUAUAUUAAUGUGACUUUGACCCGAUUACCUCAUUACACUUUCAUAUCCUAUAUUAAACACAUCGUUUUAACUGUUUUAGCUAGUCGGGUAACUGUCAUUCUGUCGAUGUUAAAUGUAAGUCAUGGCAUUUGAUAAAGAAAGUGUUUAAAAAUAA